GUCUAAGGCCAUACCAUCCUGAACACGCCCAGUCUCGUCUGAUCUCAGAAGCUAAGCAUGGUCAGGCCUGGUUAGUACUUGGAAGGGAGAAAUGCAGACUCAGGCU
rnacentral:rRNA from 1 species